CACGGUAAACGAUGGAUGCCCGCUGUUGGCGAUACAGUGUCAGCGGCCAAGCGAAAGCGUUAAGCAUCCCACCUGGGGAGUACGCCGGCAACGGUGAAACUCAAAGGAAUUGACGGGGGCCCGCACAAGCGGAGGAACAUGUGGUUUAAUUCGAUGAUACGCGAGGAACCUUACCCGGGCUUGAACUGCAGCAGAACGAUUCAGAGAUGAUGAGGUCCUUCGGGACUGCUGUGGAGGUGCCGCAUGGUUGUCGUCAGCUCGUGCCGUGAGGUGUCGGCUUAAGUGCCAUAACGAGCGCAACCCUUUUCAUUAGUUGCCAUCAGGUAAUGCUGGGCACUCUGGUGAUACUGCCACCGUAAGGUGUGAGGAAGGUGGGGAUGACGUCAAAUCAGCACGGCCCUUACGUCCGGGGCUACACACGUGUUACAAUGGGGCAUACAGAAGGCCGGUUGCACGCAAGUGCGAUCCAAUCUAUAAAGUGUCCCUCAGUUCGGAUUGGGGUCUGCAACCCGACC
rnacentral:rRNA from 1 species